rnacentral:lncRNA from 1 species
GCAUCUUUAAAUUUAGUACACAUUGAAUUGCAUUCAUGAUUAGCAAUAUCGCACGGUCCUCCCCCAAUUGUACAUCUUCUUGUAGGAUCACUUAGAUGUUUGGAAGGUACAUAGUUGAAAAAACAUGUACAUAGGUUGAAUUGAUCACAAAACCAUCCUAAUAAACUAUCGAACUUCUCGAUUUGGACUCUUGAAUUACAAAAGGAGUGGCAAUCUUUUACCACACUACAUUUGUCGUAAAUUAUUGAGCACAUACCUGCUUCUACCGUUACUUGCACUAUUCUCCCGGAAAGAAAUUACAAGCAAAAAAAUACAAUUAGAAAUUUAUCAUUUAAAAUUAUAUACUUUAUUUCACUUUUGGUUCCAUAUUUUAACUCAUACUGAUACAAGAGUUUACUCCCUCCGUCUCAAACUAUGAGUCAUUUUGCAGAAAAAUAUUUUUACAAAUUAUAACUUUUUUACAAUACCAAAGAAAUAUUAAGUUUAUUUUUCCUGUUGUACCAUUUAUCAUUUAUUAUUACUCUGUUUUUUAAUUCUUUAAUUUAUCUUGUUUAUACUAUUAAUGAAAGUUAAUUUUAUAAAAUAAUUUAUAAUUUUUUCUCCAUAGAAAUUUACUUACAUUCCUUGGUUUAUAUAAAAUAGUCAAAACGACUUAUAAAUAUAUAUGACGAAUAUAUGUAUUAGCUCUCACGUUUCACAAAAUUUUAGGAUAUUUUCCACAAUCAAUGAUUUGGGUAAUUUCAUAAAAAAUAUAUAUAUAUAUAUAUAUUUACAAUUGAUCAACGAAACUAUAAAAAAUUAAAUGGUAACAAUUUUGCUGGUACGUUUAGGUGUAAAUCAACAAAAGUUUCAAAUUGAGUUGCAAAGAGAAAACAUGAAACUUGUGAAAUUGAAUUCAGAUUUGAAAAUUGGAGGAAUAAAAAUAUGUUGAAAAAUGCUAACAAGUACGAGUGUCUACAAAAUACUUUCUAAGAAUUUUUAACAUGCGACCUAAUGCGUUCGAAAUUAAAAUAUGUAAAACUUUUUAAAUAAAUAAUUUUUCAAAUAAUUUUUUUAAGAUAAAAGUGAAUUAGUUACUAGUAUGAGAUAAUGGUGAAGAGAUUACUUACAUGCGGCAAUCGUAGCUAGGAUGAAAAAGAAAAUUAAACAUUUUGAGAUGUGGUUUGC